UGCUGGGAUUUGAACUCAUGACCUCUGGAAGAGCAGUCAGUGCCCUUAACCGCUGAGCCAUCUCACCAGCCCCAUCACUAGUAAUUGUUAAAAUGAGAGUCAUGAGUCUGUCAUUCUAGGUCUUGGCUUUUGAGGUCUUGGUUCAUCCUGGAUAGAGAUAGAAUCUUCUCCAUGGGACAGAUCCUCAUUCAGCACCACAGGACAGACAGACCGACAGGAUCAGGGCUGGACACUGGGCAUCAGAGACUACAGACAUGCUCAGGCCAACAGGAAGGGUGUCCUCUGGCCUUCCUGAGAGCCACAGAGGAGACACUGCCAAGGAACGGGAGAGAAAUCCCCUGGCACAGAGGAGGUAUGGAAAUCAGGGUGGUCACCCAGUCAACACAGCCAGAGACAAAUGUAGGAUGUCGAGACAGCUGUGUCAAUUCACAGGACCUACCUGCCACACAGAGAGGAAACUGCCGUCACAAGCUUUACUUAGUUUCAACAGGGAGAAGGCUGCUGGAAAUCAGGGAGAGUCUCGGUUUACAUCAAGACUCCUCAGAAAUAAAUGCUUCCCCAGCCUUUGACAGAUUAAGUGGAGAAAACCAGCAGGUUUUGUAAAUCAAGCUAAAUAAAUGAUUGGGUAAUGGCUAUCUAGCAAACUGCUUUCCCGAGGACAGCGGAUACUGUCUCGUAGAAUAACAAGCAAACACUACAAAAAAAUAAUCAUAUCCCAGUAUCCAAAGAAACCAUUAAUGAGCAUAGUGAAAGCUGCCUUUAUACUGCAGUUAAGGAAAAACAAUGGCAAAUUAGAAGCAAAUAACAAAUGUAAAACUAGAACCAAUUACUCCAUCUCAAGAACAAAAUCCUAAAUUGCUCUUCAAAGAGAAAAUAGAAAUCCCAAUUAAAGGUUAAUUUUUAAAAUAAAAUGAGAACCUGAGACAUGAAGAUGAGGGUGUGGGAAACAGCGCCCAGAGAAAAAUGUCAGCACGGAGCUGUUUAUUUUAGUGGAAAAAAAUAAAUGGCUGUGGGUUUCCCCCUUAUGCAGACAGAAGGCUCUGUCUGUGGUGGUGACCACUGUGGGAUUAUCUCCUGCAGCCAUGACCCGUAAUGGUGAGAUCUCGGGACAAUGGACAGGAGGACAAAGGAGCCCAGGUUAGCCACCUCUUCAGAAGUCAGCAUGUGUAACCCCUGUGUGUUUUGUGUGUUUUCAGUGUUCUUAGAGGUGAUGUGCUCCUGUGUUAAUUUUCAAGAAACCAUUCUUUAGAAAAUAAGAUGGUGAAAGCCUCUUCUGGAACAUCCCCAGAGAGCUCAACAGGAAACUUACAUGCAAUUCCGUGUUCUGAUGUGUCUCCAAAUCUUUCCUCAUUAAAUUCAGGAUGAAGACCAAACCUGGAGCCAGAAAGCCCAGCUUUCUCGGGAACCCUGCUUCUAAGAGCCCAUUACCAUGCUUGAUGUAGCACUCCCUUCUUCCCCCUCAUUCAAUGUUCCCUGAUCACUUUUAAGGGGCUAUGGGGCCCUGAGAUUCCUAACUACUGUGAACAGAGCUGGACAACACACUAUCUAUGAGGGCUCAUCUCAUUUUAAGCUUCUGUGUUUCCAAUUCUGAUGCCAGUGUUGUAUCUGUUCACCCAUGCCCCCAGGGGAAUUUGGGACAUUUCUUUGUCAUCAGUAACCUGGCAUCUAACUGUGUAUAUCAAGGUUAGAUGUUGGUGAUUCAGAUUUCCCUUUUGAGACUGGGUGUUCCUGUCUCUCCAGAUCAAUAACAUUGAGUUCUAGAAUAUUCAGUAACCACUCUGUGCUUUCCCAUUGACAGAGAGGACACUGGAGGAAUAGUUUCUGGUAUGGUCCUCCUUACUCUCACUCAGACUGCAGAGGGGGCCCAUGUAUAGGCGACACAGAGGUGGACCACCUGCCCAGGCUGGCCUUGAGUUGGGUGUGUCUGUUUCCUGACUCGGCAUUUCAAGGUUGUCAUACCAGUUCUUUAGAAAGGAAGUCUCAGGCUGUAUGUUGUAUCUGUAUGUUGUUUAUUCGUCACUCCACAGUUAUAGAAAAAAAUAAUGCUUAUCUAUGACAUUCUAUAUGGUUACUAAUAUACCUGAAAGUGAAUUGCUAUACAUAACUGUCAUCCUAGGUCUGGUCCAGCCCCAUAAUGUCAGGAAUUUUGAAUGAGUCGUGAAGAUUUAAGAGGCCCUAGUGUCUCUGCAUUCAUCUUGCAGUCACCAGGUGGCUGAAAACAGCUUGGGGAACAGUUUGUUUGUCAGAAACCAAAGAAAUUGGACCUCUUCGCAGGUGCAGCUCCAGGCAAGCAUGAAGUCUGGUUGGCAAGAGAUGUAGUGGUAUGAAAAUAACUCUGGUCAAGUCUCCUUGUGCAUAGCCCAGGCUGACCUCAAAGCUGAGAUCACCCUGCCGAAGGCUUCUGAAUGCUAGGAUUAAAGGUGUGUUCCACUUUGUACAGAUAACAUCUGCUGUUUUAGAGAUACUAUCGAAACGAGGAGCUCAGUCGCCAGCAUGAUGUUUCUCCUUGGAGAUACUCCUUCAGUACCUGGGUUUAUUGCUCCCUUCAGACUGUCACCCUAAAAUAUAAACAGUUCACAUCCUGAGUAUGCCCACUCUUGACCCAGGUCUGUGUCUCUGGGUGGUUUUCCGGAUUUCCCCACUAUUUUGUUGGACCUCUUUCUCUGUAAUACUCAACAGUGGUCCAUGGUUCUCUCUCCAAGCCAUCUUCCCUUUGUGUGUGUAUGUUUUUGUGUCCAAGUUUCCCUUUUACAUAAGGACUGGGUCACACUGGAUCCAGUCCACCCUAAAAAAAAAAAACUUAUUUUAAUUUGAUCACUCAUAUAAAAGCCUUGUUUACAGUGAAGACACAGUCUGGAGAACUGCAGGUUAGGAUGUGUGCAUCUUCUAGGCAGACACAAACCCACAGCACUACAGUAGUUCAUUUUCACAUCUCCAGUCCCAAGACUCGCCUCACCUGCACACCUUACGUCCUCUAUGAAACUGUGGCACUGGCCACAACACCACUGUACUCUACUUUCUGAAGAUGGCCUUCACCAGCUUAGAGGCUGACGGGAUGGCUCAAAGGGUAAAGGCGUGGUGUCAUCAAGGCUGAUGACCUGAGUUCAAUUCCUUAGACCCAUAUGGUGGAAGAUAACAACUGAACUGACUCCUCAAGGUGACCUCUGACCCCCAUACACAUGCCAUAACAUGAGAAAACAUGCACAUGUGUACACACAUACAUAGAAAAAUACACAAA